GAUGAACGCUGGCGGCGUGCCUAAUACAUGCAAGUCGAGCGAACGGACGAGAAGCUUGCUUCUCUGAUGUUAGCGGCGGACGGGUGAGUAACACGUGGAUAACCUACCUAUAAGACUGGGAUAACUUCGGGAAACCGGAGCUAAUACCGGAUAAUAUUUUGAACCGCAUGGUUCAAAAGUGAAAGACGGUCUUGCUGUCACUUAUAGAUGGAUCCGCGCUGCAUUAGCUAGUUGGUAAGGUAACGGCUUACCAAGGCAACGAUGCAUAGCCGACCUGAGAGGGUGAGCGGCCACACUGGAACUGAGACACGGUCCAGACUACUACGGGAGGCAGCAGUAGGGAAUCUUCCGCAAUGGGCGAAAGCCUGACGGAGCAACGCCGCGUGAGUGAUGAAGGUCUUCGGAUCGUAAAACUCUGUUAUUAGGGAAGAACAUAUGUGUAAGUAACUGUGCACAUCUUGACGGUACCUAAUCAGAAAGCCACGGCUAACUACGUG
rnacentral:rRNA from 1 species